AUUGAACGCUGGCGGCAUGCCUUACACAUGCAAGUCGAACGGUAACGCGGGGCAACCUGGUGACGAGUGGCGAACGGGUGAGUAAUGUAUCGGAACGUGCCCAAUAGUGGGGGAUAGCCCGGCGAAAGCCGGAUUAAUACCGCAUGAGACCUGAGGGUGAAAGCGGGGGAUCGCAAGACCUCGCGCUGUUGGAGCGGCCGAUAUCAGAUUAGGUAGUUGGUGGGGUAAAGGCCUACCAAGCCUGCGAUCUGUAGCUGGUCUGAGAGGAUGACCAGCCACACUGGGACUGAGACACGGCCCAGACUCCUACGGGAGGCAGCAGUGGGGAAUUUUGGACAAUGGGCGCAAGCCUGAUCCAGCCAUGCCGCGUGCGGGAAGAAGGCCUUCGGGUUGUAAACCGCUUUUGUCAGGGAAGAAAUCUUCUGGGUUAAUACCUCGGGAGGAUGACGGUACCUGAAGAAUAAGCACCGGCUAACUACGUGCCAGCAGCCGCUGUAA
rnacentral:rRNA from 1 species